GAUGUACGUGCAUCCUUGUAUAUACUGUGGUGAAAUGCAGUUAGUGCGGGGUGUUUGCCGCUGUCUGGUUGAUCACACCCCCUAGGUAAUUGCUUGUUAUUGCAUCCUAGUUAUGGGAGUGUAUAUAAAGGCGGGAGGCAAAAUAGAAGAGCGUUACGUCAUACUCAGCUGAUCGUACUCUCGGCGUUUCGUUGCGUUGCACGAGGGUAAUCCUUGUGAAGCUGGCAUUUGUUUCGGGCGCAUGUUGCAGCCGUAUCCGGGAAAUCGCCGGUCCUCUGCUGUUGCGUUUCUCUGCAUUUGAGAAUUGCGGGUGCCGUCUGCUUGAGUGAUUUGCCGCUGCCUUCUACUUGAACCGAUCUGAGCAUGGAGAUGACAUGUGCAGAACCAUGCAAAUCAGAACACAUCAGUUCAAGACCCUGUCUUCAGACCUGACUUCCUCCCUAAACUUCCUUCCUUGACUCUCUUUAAAGAAGAGAUUCACAGCGUGGAAGGCCUGAGAGAACACACAGUGUAGCUCAAUACUGGCAACAGGUGCUAUGCGUUUGGACGAACUUCUGUAUUGUUUUUAGCUACAUGAGAGAAGCGAACUACUUUUAUUUGGGCCACCCCGGCAUUGAUGUCCCGCCACAGAUAUUCAGGUUUUGGUGAGAUGAUGUACAUCCUCCAGUGAGCCGCCAAAUGCAGCGCCAGUAAAAUAAUAAUCACCCUCUCCAGCUGGAACAUAUGCUUGAGAUUCUGGUCUACGCUCAUAUGUGAACUGAUCCCUUGGAGCAUC